rnacentral:rRNA from 1 species
AUUGAACGCUGGCGGCAGGCCUAACACAUGCAAGUCGAACGAGUGGCGGACGGGUGAGUAAUGUCUGGGCCACUGCCUGAUGGAGGGGGAUAACUACUGGAAACGGUAGCUAAUACCGCAUACCAUAAGAUGUGCCCAGAUGGGAUGAGCUAGUUGGUGGGGUAACGGCUCACCAAGGCGACGAUCCCUAGCUGGUCUGAGAGGGUGACACGUCACACUGGAACGUAGACACGGUCCAAACUCCUACGCGAGGCAGCAGUGGAGAAUAUUGCAAAAUGUGCGCAAGCCUGGUGCAGCCAUGCCGCGUGUAUGAAGAAGGCCUUCGGGUUGUAAAGUACUUUCAGCGGGGAGGCGUUACCCGCAGAAGAAGCACCGGCUGACUCCAUGCGAGCGGCAGCGGUAAAUC